GCGGCGCGGCGGCAGGGGCAGAUGGACAGCGGCGGCGCAACUAGCCGAGCAGAUCAAGGACACGUGGUUCUCCCUCCCUCCUCCCUCUCCAACCCGGCGGCAGAGAGACCAGUCGAGCGGCGCGGGGCCCGGCGACCCCACCUCCGUCCGAGCUCGGCGUCGCCCGUGAGACGUCAUCUCUGGCGCCCUCUCCAUCUCCGGAUGCGUCGAACUGGAGAAAGACAUGACAUGAUGAUGAAGCUUUUUUAGAUCUUGUCGUCUGUCACAAUUUUCUUUCGAUGUCCAGCUUAUAUGAUGGGAGAUCAAGGAUGAACCGACUAAUGUUUGAUCAGAUGUCUAGCAAGUUAUUUUGAUCUGGCUAUUCUAUGCUGCGUUUUGCUAUUUAGCCGUGAAUAUAUGUCAAUAUGUGGUGUAAUAUUGGCAAAAAGACUGCUAAACUGAUGUUUGGUUCAGCCAUGUAGUACAAGCUAGCUUUGGUUUAGUCAUGUUGCUACUUGUACUUUCAUCUAAACGUGGCGGUGCACUAUCGCCGAGCUGCGAAUUGUGUGGCGAUUGGGGUGCAGGACCUGAAUGAUGAACUCGUGUCAGCGUACUCUUUGGGAAGCACCUUCAGUCAGCGUACUCUUUGAAAAUUAGAUGCUAAGAAAAAGAGAGGAAUGAGGAGCUGAGUUGCCAAAUCAUCCUUCCAGUUGUGAAGAGUUCAAGGACCUCCUGGAUCAGAGAACUUGAUGCUUCAUGCUUCAAACUGAACAAAUUGAUAUUUAUGUUUGUGUUAUUGUAAUAAGCUGAUGACUCUUUCAGAGCACUUGAUGUGUAUUUUGUUUGAGAUAACAAUUUUACUGAAAUCGAGUUUUCAUUGUCA